CUAACACAUGCAAGUCGAACGAGCGAGAGAGAGCUUGCUUUCUCGAGCGAGUGGCGAACGGGUGAGUAACGCGUGAGGAACCUGCCUCAAAGAGGGGGACAACAGUUGGAAACGACUGCUAAUACCGCAUAAGCCCACAGGUCGGCAUCGACCAGGGGGAAAAGGAGCAAUCCGCUUUGAGAUGGCCUCGCGUCCGAUUAGCUAGUUGGUGAGGUAAUGGCCCACCAAGGCAACGAUCGGUAGCCGGACUGAGAGGUUGAACGGCCACAUUGGGACUGAGACACGGCCCAGACUCCUACGGGAGGCAGCAGUGGGGAAUAUUGCACAAUGGGGGAAACCCUGAUGCAGCGACGCCGCGUGGAGGAAGAAGGUCUUCGGAUUGUAAACUCCUGUUGUUGAGGAAGAUAAUGACGGUACUCAACAAGGAAGUGACGGCUAACUACGUGCCAGCAGCCGCGGUAAAACGUAGGUCACAAGCGUUGUCCGGAAUUACUGGGUGUAAAGGGAGCGCAGGCGGGAAGACAAGUUGGAAGUGAAAUCUAUGGGCUCAACCCAUAAACUGCUUUCAAAACUGUUUUUCUUGAGUAGUGCAGAGGUAGGCGGAAUUCCCGGUGUAGCGGUGGAAUGCGUAGAUAUCGGGAGGACACCAGUGGCGAAGGC
rnacentral:rRNA from 1 species